AGAGUUUGAUCAUGGCUCAGAACGUACGCUGGCGGCACGCCUAACACAUGUAAGACGAACGAAGUAGCAAUACUUAGUGGCAGACGGGUGAGUAACAUGUAGGUAUCUGCCCUUUGGCCUGGAAUAACACGAGGAAACUUGUGCUAAUACCGGAUAAGUCUUUACGGAGAAAGCUUUAUGCACCAUUGGAUGAGCCUGCACUUGAUUAGUUUGUUGGUGGGGUAAUGGCCUACCAAGACUGUGAUCAAUAGCUGAUUUGAGAGGAUGAUCAGCCACAUUGGGACUGAGACACGGCCCAAACUCCUACGGGAGGCAGCAGUGGGGAAUCUUGCACAAUGGAGGAAACUCUGAUGCAGCGAUGCCGCGUGAGUGAAGAAGGCCCUUGGGUUGUAAAGCUCUUUCGUCGGGGAAGAAAAUGACUGUACCCGAAUAAGAAGGUCCGGCUAACUUCGUGCCAGCAGCCGCGGUAAUACGAAGGGACCUAGCGUAGUUCGGAAUUACUGGGCUUAAAGAGUUCGUAGGUGGUUGAAAAAGUUGGUGGUGAAAUCCCAGAGCUUAACUCUGGAACUGCCAUCAAAACUUUUCAGCUAGAGUUUGAUAGAGGAAAGCAGAAUUUCUAGUGUAGAGGUGAAAUUCGUAGAUAUUAGAAARGGAUACCGAUUGCGAAGGCAGCUUUCUGGAUCAUUACUGACACUGAGGAACGAAAGCAUGGGUAGCGAAGAGGAUUAGAUACCCUCGUAGUCCAUGCCGUAAACGAUGUGUGUUAGACGUUGGAAAUUUAUUUUCAGUGUCGCAGCGAAAGCGAUAAACACACCGCCUGGGGAGUACGACCGCAAGGUUAAAACUCAAAUGAAUUGACGGGGACCCGCACAAGUAGUGGAGCAUGUGGUUUAAUUCGAAGAUACGCGCAGAACCUUACCAACACUUGACAUGUUCGUCGCGACUUUAAGAGAUUAAAGUUUUCGGUUCGGCCGGACGAAACACAGGUGCUGCAUGGCUGUCGUCAGCUCGUGUCGUGAGAUGUUGGGUUAAGUCCCGCAACGAGCGCAACCCUCACUUUUAGUUGCCAUCAUUAAGUUGGGCACUCUGAAAGAACUGCCAGUGAUAAGCUGGAGGAAGGUGGGGAUGACGUCAAGUCCUCAUGGCCCUUACGUGUUGGGCUACACACGUGCUACAAUGGUACUUACAACAGGAAGCAAAACGGCGACGUUAAGCAAAUCCUCAAAAAGUACCUCAGUUCGGAUUGCACUCUGCAACUCGAGUGCAUGAAGCUGGAAUUACUAGUAAUCGUGGAUCAGCGUGCCACGGUGAAUGCGUUCCCGGGUCUUGUACACACCGCCCGUCACACCAUGGGAGUUGGUUCUACCUUAAGGCAAGGUUUCAAACCCUUGACCACGGUAUAGUCAGCGUCUUGGUGAAGUCGUAACAAGGUAGCCGUA
rnacentral:rRNA from 1 species